GGUACCCAGACAAUUAAGGGCCUCAUUCUUGACAUGCACAUGUUAAGAGAAGAGAAACAUGUCAGACCAAUUUCAAAUUAUGGAAAUCAUAUUUAUGAAAAUUCUGUGGAGGAAUCAAUGCUUGGUUGUGAAGAUAACUGAUCAUGAAUUGUAUCUCAAAAACUUCGUCUACCUCAUCAGAUGUGAUCAAAACAGAGGCAUUUGCAAAUAUGCGCCAAUUAAAUGUGCUUCUGCUCAAUGAUGUCAAGCUUGAUCGAGG
rnacentral:misc_RNA from 1 species